CUCCUCGCGCUCGCACUCGUUGACGUCCUCCUCGCACCUGCACGCACAGAACACACAAGCCCCACCCAUCAGGACCCGGAGGCACAGGCUCUUUAGGGACAAGAGGACAGUUUUUGGCAAAGGAUGUGUCUCUUCAUGCCUUGAAAAUCCUCCAGGGCCUCGUACCCAAGUCCCAGCCUGGGAAAUGCUCAGCACAAACAUUCCACUCCAGCGUUUUCUCGGCACGCUGGCCCAGUCUCUUGUGGCUCAAAGUGGUAUGAACGCAGACGAGAGGCUGCUAGUUGGUGUAAACGCAACACUCCCUUAGCUGGGGACAGAGGGUCUGCCGUGUCUUGUCUUGAACCCCUUAUGAGCACUGCUGUGAAUCACUGCAUGGAGGCCCUAGCACAACUUUGGGACAUAAAUCAGUUUGCCUACAAGACAACCAGGGAACAUGUGCAGAGCCUGGAGUCAUUUUUGCUCGCCACAACUGGAAGGAGAGACGUUCCUGAUGUCUACGGGGUGCAGAUCAGAUGUACUGCUAAACAUCCUCCAAUGUAUAGGGCAGGCCCCAACAACAAGUAACUAUAUGACCCUAAAUAUUAAUACUUCUGUUAAGAAACCCUACA